UACGUAGGGUGCAAGCGUUAAUCGGAAUUACUGGGCGUAAAGCGUGCGCAGGCGGUUUUGUAAGUCUGUCGUGAAAUCCCCGGGCUCAACCUGGGAAUUGCGAUGGAGACUGCAAGGCUAGAAUCUGGCAGAGGGGGGUAGAAUUCCACGUGUAGCAGUGAAAUGCGUAGAUAUGUGGAGGAACACCGAUGGCGAAGGCAGCCCCCCUGGGUCAAGAUUGACGCUCAUGCACGAAAGCGUGGGGAGC
rnacentral:rRNA from 1 species